CUGGAGGGUCACUGAAGGUGUUACCUAAUAUGGUGAUGGAAUGUUUGAUAAUGAACUGCAGAUCUCUUCACCGGGAAAUGCGUGGCUGAGAACAAGUUGUGUUGUGGUUACACACGGCAGUGGAAAUGCAGAAUGCGCAUCAGCACCUUCCAAAUCCAUGACCUCUACCAACUCGAAUGGCAAAGUCAGUUGAUGCAGAGAAAAACCAUCUGCAGCAGGCUUCCCUUCCAGUUAAACACUAUGCUGCCAUGAAAAUAUAUGACUGUUUCUUUACGAUCUCUGAGUUAAAGUAAUGAAAAUUGCAUUGAACAGCACUGCGAGUAUGUUUACAAUCUAUCUUCGUAUCUGAAGUAUCUAAUUUCUGGAACCACUAUCACAAACAAGCAUAAACUGAAGCACAAUAUUGUUCACGUUCCACUUGAAUGUCUUUCCAACCUUCAUCUGACCUUAUCAGCAUAUCUUUCCAAUACAUAUAAAACGUAUGUAGUUAUUCUUGAAAUGAAUAAAAAUUCUGAACUGGACCAGAACUCUUAAUUCUGUGAAGAUCCACAAUAAUGUAUGAUAGUAAUAAUACUCAAUAUGCAUCUGUUUGGGAGGGC